UUUAUUUAUUUAUGUUUAUUAUUGACCAAAGAAAAUCUCUUGCAUUUACCUCAUUCACAAAUUCCCUUCCUUGAUCAGUUAUAAUUUCGGAGGGUGGCCCAAGGGUGUAAAUCAUUUGCACUGUGGACCGGGCAACACUGUCUUUCAGUGGGCAGGCCACAACCCACUUGAUAAAUAGAUCUGCCGUUGUGAUGACAAAUUUAUUUUAUUCCAUUCUAUUUCUUGUUAUUUCAAAGGGGCAUGUAAGGUCCACACCCAUUAUUUCCCAUCUUCCCUCAGCCUUGAUGGGAUGCAGUUGUGAACCCAGGAUUUUUAUUUUCUUAAAGAAUUGCCACUUAGGACAGAUGUUUAUCUGAAAAUUACAAUAAUGGCACAUAUUUUAUAAAUAAAUGUUAAACGGAGUGGGUGUGAGAGAAUCGCCAACCAUCUAAGCACCCCUUUAACUACUUUGGGAAAGGGAGGAAUGAUCGUCCUUCCUCUUCGUUAAGGGCGGAGUGUCUCGCCCAAGGUUUCUCUUCUUCUCUCGAAUCCUCGAGCAGAAGUGACUCCGGCUGCUGACUCCUAAUGAUACAGCGUCACCGCUUCGGAGCAACGCCUCGAGUGCCCUCGUCACCACCCCCUCCCUCCUUGGUAAAGGGAACUCUGCAGGAGCUGACAUCGAGAGGUCAGCAGACACCAGGCGGCAGACAGCUCUCACCACCUGCCAUAACUACACGUCCGUUCAGCUGUUCUCCUCUAUCACUCCAGAAGGCUUCGGUGAAGAUUGUGGGCUGAUCUCAUCUGCCUUCAGUACCUGGCAUUAAUCUGCCGUCGGUCCCAACUCGUUCCUGGUUCAACCCCUACCGGUCGAAGCGAGAUUCCUACGGCUGCCAGGACGCCGGCCUCCAAGGACUCCCCUAGGAUUCUUGGUGAUAUUGCCGGAUAUUUCUAUUAUUGUUGGGUUGUGGGUUUGUUUUUGUUAAUUAUAACUGGAGUACGUUCUUCCUCGUUUUCUUUACAUCCCAAUCUUGAAGGGGUGUUGACGGGAAGAGUAGCCAGCCCGGUCCUGACAUAUUGGCGACUUCGCCAGGAUUCGGCUGCUGUUAACGUCUUCGCAACUUGUGCAGAUUGAGCGUGUGUAAUUAGCUAGUGUUCGCCCUUGCUACCUGAAGCCCGGGAGUAAGGAUUCAUGGUGAGUGUGGAUGUUGUCUCCUCGCCAGCACUACCAAGUGCGUUCGGGUGUUUUCAACGCCCUGGAUUGUGAGGUGAGAUGCGGAUUUGUUGUUCUCUCACCCGACUCUUGUCAAGAGUUGUUGUUGUUGUCGUCUUUUAGUGAGGUGUAGUUUUGUCCUCUCGCUUACACUGCCACGUGUUUUUGACUUGAUAAACAUUGACAACGUUUGUUUGUGUCUGUUGUGUGGUCAUUUUUUUGUUACCAUCUUCCGCCAUCCAUUUAACAUGCUUGAUUUUGAGCAGUUCAAGCCGAGUACUUGGGUCUGGAAGGCACGGAGGUGAGCCAAUGGAUCAGGGAACAGUGGGCAUUCCUGCGGGAGGAACGUCAGCGAGAGCGAGAAAACGAGAGCAAGCGGAGUGAGCAGAAAGACGAAAGCAAGCCGAGCAAGCAGAAAAACGAGAGCAAGUAGAAAGAGAGAGGAGAUUAGACUGGCGGAGAUUCAGGCUUCGGCUACCAGGCCGAUACAGCCUUUAACAUUAAGUGAUCCUGUUACCAGGCCUACCUUACCUGGCUACAAGGAUGAAGAUAUUGCUACUUACCUGGCAAGAUUCGAACGGGUGGAAGCCUUGUUAAAAAUUGACAUAGUUAUGCCGCUCGACUUCGUUGUCUUCUCACGGGAGCGAAGAGACGUGAAGCUGGAGGAUGUGGCCAGCCUUGCGGAUUGUUGGGUGUCUGCCCAUAACGUCUAUCCAAAGGAUUCUACAUAUCUACGACCCAAGAAGUUGCCACCCAGGGAUAUGCCUCCUUCUAAGCAAAUCGUUUCUCCUCCUGCGAAGCCCGCUGUGUCCACGGUGAGGUGUCACAACUGUGGAGAGGAGGGCCAGAUAGAUAGAUAGAUAGAUAGAUUUAUUGACCACAAAAUAAUUAUAAAUAUCCACAGCAAGCAAGUAUUGUAGUCCACAAUUUUGUUAAUCAUUAGAUCACUAUACUGAAAUUUCAGCACAAGAGCUCAAAAAAAAAAAAAAUAAAAUAAAAUUUGACUUAAAUUUUGGUAACACAUUUCUCCUUUCUUCAACUAAAAUAACCAUUUGAAACACUGAUACAAAUCAAGAAUUAAUCACACCCAUACAUUUCAUCUGUACACCUUAAGCACAUCAUAAUUCACAUUACAGAUCACAUUGUUUGACCAUUUUGUAAAAAUAUCCUCCAUAGUUCGGUAGGAAUAACGGUCUCUCAAAUGUUGGGUGAGAGCACACUGCUCUACCACGUGCUUCUCCGUCUGCACCUCACCACACGGGCACAGCCGCUCUUCCAACGGUAAGCGGCCACGCCCUUGCCUGUUCCAUCUCCCAGUUUCUAUGGCUAGGGUGUGGCCAGAAAGUCGAAACCUCGUAAAUUCCAAUCUAUGAUAUUCAUUUACAAAUUUCCUUUCAGUGUAAAUGGUAUGUGUACUUUGAGUAGGAUUAAUAUCUCUGUAUACAAUACAUCUUGAACCACUUGAUUCCGCCACACUUCUCUUUGCUUUUUCUAAUAAUAUUGACAUAUUAUUAUGACAC